rnacentral:lncRNA from 1 species
AUGCACCAGCGGGAUCCUUGGCAGCAAUGCCCAGGCACUGAAGCCGGGCAUUCAGGAGAGCUAAAUGGAGAAAAAAAACUUGAGCAAACUGCUUCCUGGAACACUGAGAACCUGAAUGGGAAAUUAAGAAGAACCAGAUUCUUUCUAUUCUUCCACCAGCCAAGGGAGAACUCAUGGCUGGAAAUAUGGAAGAUGAACCAAGGACUCGUCUUUAACACUCCACGCUCCUCUACUAAAGACGGAGAAAAAUGUCAGUUGUUCGGAGCUCCCCACGACCUGCCUGUCUGCACGCUCCCCCUAGGGGUUUGAGCAGUGGAACACUGAACAGGCGAACCGCACAUCUGUCGCAUGUCCUGCGAGGGGGCUAAGGAAACUUUCUGUUUCAGAAGUUCUACUUUGAGGCAAAACCAGGCCUCACAUGUGCAAGAACAUUGCUAGACCUCAGGCCUUGUUCGUAAACCACAGCUACGUACCCCAGCCCUGCACGGGAAGUGGGGAGGAGCUCUUGUUUCUUCCCACAACAAACAGGUUCUUACCCGUUGGCAGCUCCUGUGAAUUACAUGACAUCAACGUGUAUGUAGGUUCUGUCUUUUGGGGAAAGACAUUGUAACGUGGAGCUUUUCUCUUCAGAAUCUACUUAAAACCAGAUAUUUCAGUUAUUAGAGUGAAUUAAAACUAUUAAGUAGCAUAUAAAAUAUAUUUUGACCAGUCAAACCUAAUUGUAGACUGUUAGCAUAGACACCCAUCAGCACACUUACAUGCUCCCAGACACAAGAGUAUCUGUUUGUCUCUGUUGAUAUGGUUGGGAAGUUUUGCUUUGUGACCUGGGGAGUAGAACCAAGUGUUGCUGAGACAGCUGAGAACCAAGAGGAGGAGGUUGGAAGGAUGGUAUGGAUUCUCUUCCUUCCUAGCUCUUUGGAUUUGGUUUUAGACCCCAAUGGUUAGAUGCAUACGAGCCAGAAAGUAGGGAAACUGUCCACAAAAAACCCUUUAUGGUUCUCUGUUCCAAGCAUCAUUGCUUCAGCUCCCAGGUGACAAAGCGUAGCUCAGAGCUGAGAAGAGAGGCCAUUUUCCCUGCUUGUGCAUAAAACCCCCUCUGCUCUGACAACCUGAGGACUGGCUGGACUGGCAGGCCACUGCAAGAUGCAUGGCACUAGCUUCCUUUUCUUAGGUGAGAGUCACCUGGGGUAUGGACAGUGGGUCCAGCACUGGAGAAAGCAUGGCAACUGCCCUAACACACUCCUCCCAGAAUCUACACACACUUCCAAUGGACCGGCUUCCCCUCACCCCCACCAGGCAGCACAGGGCAGCACUGUGUUUUGAGCUUAAUCAGCACUGCUUUCAUGAUGGGCUGUGACAGCACUGAGGAUUUCCAUGUGGCCCUGCAGAAAGGAGACCUGGAGGAACCAGAGCAGGAGAGAAAGAACCAGGUGGAUUCAUGCGGUUAUGGCAGCUGGUUUAUAAGCAUGAAUGACACACCCCAUUGGAGACGCCUAGAAAUAGCUGGAGGACACUGAGGUCAAGCUAAGAGCAUGUUGUUACCUUUGUAAUUUGGACAUCAAAAGGAAAUGUAACCUGAUUUUAUAUGGUCUGGAGAGACCUAGACAUGCUGUAAUUAAACUAUAAUUGCAAUUAAUGGGCUACUUUAUAAGUAAUCUAAUCUCAUGAAAAAAAUUGGUGGCUUACAAUAAAAUAAGGAGAUUGGUGAAAAUAAGGAGAUUAAUAAAAAAAGGGGAUGACAGCCAUAGCCAAAACAUCUAUAAAUUUGUUAAACCGAGACUCAAGCAAAAAACGUUUGAAUUGAAUUACGCAAAAAAGAGGAAAAAUACAAGCUCUGGAAGAAUGAAACCUGUGCCAUGAGUACCUUUUAACCACAAGUUUCAGCAUUUCUUUUCAAGGAGAACUUAUGGCUGGAAAUAUGGAUGGAAGAUGAACCGAGGACUCAUCCUGAACAUUGUAUGCUACUAUGCUAAAGACUGAGAGAAGUGUCAGUUGCUCCUAUCAAAGGAAGAGGGGGUUGAUAGACAUCAGCACCUUUGGCAUCAUUGUUGAUUCCAGAGUGUCCUUAGCUUUUGAGCCACCUUCAAACGGCCUUGUCAACCACUGCAAGAUGCAUGCCACUGGCUUCCUCUUCUCAGGCGAGAGCCACCCGGGGUGCAGACAGUGAGUCCAGCAUUGUGGGAGGCAUGGCGACGGCCCUGACAGACUCCUCCCAGAAUUUACACACACUUCCAAUGGACUGGCGACCCCCACACCUCCACCAGUUUCCAAUGAGAAACACCUUCUAAAGAACUCUCUCUUGUUAGAACAGCUUCCCUGAGCAUAGGAACCAGGGAAGCAAUCAGCAUCAGCUCAGCUUGACUGUCCCCCACUGCCUGUGCGUGUCUCUCCAGUAACUAAGCUGUUUUUACUCAGUUUUGGGUGUUAGCUGGUGAGUCAUGGCCUCAAGGAAGCCUAUACUGCCUAGAUUAGGCCUGGUGUUGCCUUCUUUACUUCUUCAUAAUGAAUAAAGGUUGACACAAAUUGUGUAUUUAAUUACUGCAGAUAACACAGGAGGGAUCAUGCCCAUAUUGUUCACUGAUAGCCCUUCAAGGCCUAGCAUAGUGCCUGGAACACAGUAAAUAGUAACAUUUAUGAAUGUCAGCAGCUCUGCAGAGCUUUCCCUACAUGGCUUACAGCUUAGGCUAAAGCACUUAAUAUAUUCCCCACUUCUGCUGUUAAUAUUUUUAACUAGUUAUUUUUCAUAUUAUAUAAACAACAUGUGAAUACAAGUUCAUUGUAAAAAACUCAAACUCAUAUAAAAGCUACAGUCUUUUACAUGUAAAUGAUGCCACAAUAAAGCUACUUUUUAAAAAGCCAUGGUCCCCCUUCACAACUCCACACCAGCCCAGUCCCAUUCCUUUCCCAGACAUACGCUCCGCUCUUAACAGUUUCAUGUGUAAACUUCUAGAUCUUCUCCUGUGUGUUUUCAUACAUGUAUAUAUCUUCAUACAUUAUGUGCUUUCAUACAUGUGUAUUCAGAUGAAUACUCAAGUAUUUGUGGUUUUGUGCAUAUACAUUCAGAGUGUUUUAGUCAGAGUGCAAUCAGAAGGCAGAGCUGUGCUAGAUAUGACAUUGCAAACAGAGGGAAUUUAACACAGAUGGUGGGGGAGUUCAGUGGCCAGAGAACAGCAGGAAGCCACUAUCAACCCUUGGGCUGGAGGGACAGAGGGAGGAAGCGGAGUGACCAGAGCCCAGGAGCUUGGGUCAACUGGAAGAAUCUGGGACCAUGGCAACACUUCCAGCUAAAUCGGGAGCAGUGGAGGAAGAGGCUAUCUGGCAGUAGGUGGAGACAUGGACAAGACCUAUCAGACAUCAUGUAAAGCAGGGAGAAAGGGAGACAUAACCUGGCUUCUUCUCACCCUCAUUCUCCAGUGUCUGUCACUGGCUCUCUUUAGCCGGUCUGGAAAUGAGCCUGGAAAAAGUAGUUCCCAAGGAUACAAAGCCCAGAUAGAGGAUGGUCUGGAAUGGAUUUGAGAGCAAGCAGACAAAAGGCCGGCAUAUGAAGUUUAAAAUAAAACACAUAAAUAGCAUCACGGUAUAUGUAAUGUUCUAAAUUUAUCACUUACCAUUUUUACAGAGAUAAAAUCUGGUUAAAAUGGCCAUUGAGAGCAGGCUUGAUCCACAGAACGAAAGGUACAGCAGGAGAGCACACAGGCAGAUAGCAAGGAAAGACAUACUACAGAAGGGCAGCCCCAGGGGCUGGGAUGGGUGCAGGUCUUAUUCCUUGGGAACCAGGCCUGAUCUGCUCUGCAGAGUGGGAGGAGGGCAGGAGUAUGAGCUGACCAUUGCCCAGCAGUAGAAUCAAAGACUCAGAGAGUUUAGAGUCUGAAGGAAACUUAUGUCUCCCAUUUCAACUCAUGACUUCUAUAGAAUAAGGAAAUGAAAUGCCGAAAGUGAUGGGC